UGUCCUUUUUCAGGUGUGUUCUGACAAGUUGGCGCAGUAUAGUCACAACCAGGUAUUUCGGGCCGAACCGGGUUUCGGGGCCGAAAUACAAUUUUGGGAUGUUUAAUUGGCAUUUUAUUUUUAUACAAGAAAUCUGCAAUUUAUUAUUUGAGUGUGUGAAAUGUGAUAAUUAUAUUUUUUUUUUACCCUUAUAUGCUUGAAAAUGGGAAUUUGGCCCUAAGGGCAAUGUGGUAAUUGUGCAUUUUGGGUUAUGAUUCAUUAAAAGGGAAAUAUUAAGCAAAAUGAGAUUUUAUUUCUGCAUUUUACUCCAGCCCUAGCAGCCAGCCUCUCCCUCUCUCAAAAACUCAUUUUUUUAGCUUUAAUUUUAUGGUGAAUUGCUUGUGGAAGAAAGCUUAGUUUUGGAGAUUUGAGGAUUUUCUCUUGCUUGGAUUUGAGGUAGUUCUCCUACCAUUUCUAAUUUCUGAGUUGUUGCUGAAAUGAGAAUUUAAAAAAAGAAAAAGAAAAAGAAGCAUGUUUUUAUGAGUAGGUGUUCUUGAAAUGCAUGGGUAUGAAUUGAUAUGAGUUGGUGAAAUUCUAGUUUGAAUAUUUUGUUAGUAGCUAAGCUUUGAAUGUUUGGAAGCUUAGAUGGAGAUUUGAAUGUGAGAAUUUGAAAUCUAUGUUGACAUUUUCUUGCUGAAUAUUGUAAGUAAUUUUGUUAGAUUUAAGCUCUAAACUCUUGAAGUUGAUUAGUUCAUGUUGAAUUGUUGAUAAUUGUGUUUAUGUGAUUGUUGUUAUAAUCUGAAUUUUUAUGCAUGGAUGAGGAUUUAAGGCAUUUGCUUGGGUUAUAUUGAGAAUAAAUUUGUGUAAAGAUGCUGAUAUUUUUUUUUUUAUGGUUAUGCAAGCUCUUGAUUUGGGAUUUUUGCUCUAGUUAAAGCUUGCUGAAAUUGAUGAUUUUUAGUUGCUGGUUUUUGGUGUUGUUGGAAGUGAAUUAGGUGUAAUUCCUCCCUAAUUACUUGGUUUAUGCUAGGUGAAAAUUUGGUAUGAUUGUGGGUUGUUAUAGCAUGAAAAUUGGUAUUUUUAGAUGCAUUUUCGUGGCUGGAAACAGGGUUUCCUGGGUUUUUAAACCCAGUAGCCGCGGCCAUUUUUGGCAGCUUAUUGUAUUUUUUCGGGUUUUUGUUUUGGUCAUAACUUUUGACUCAGGACUCCGUUUGGAACGUUCUUUAUACCGUUGGAAAGCUCGUUCCGAGCUCUAUCUGAAUAUCUGGAAUUUAAAUGCCCAGUUUUUAAUUUAUGGAAAUAGAUUUUGGGAUUAACCCUAUACUUGUGUAUCCGAGAAUUGUGACUAGGAUUACCGGCACUUGGUCAAGAGCACCCAGGGAUUUGGAAUCUCCAUAUUUGUGGGAUAUCAGGAAAGGGUAAAUCUAUCUCUGAUCAGCCAUGAGCAUGGGAGUUGGGCGAUGUAUGUACAUGUUCGUGCAACACUAGACCAAGCGGGUUGGGGUCUACUAGUGUUGAAACUUUUGUAACUCUAUUUUGCCGCUUAGGUCGGUUAAGGAGAAAAAACUUGUAAUAUUUUGUAAAAUGAUUUUUGGGAUCCCGAAAUAUGUAACUUUUGUUUGUAAGGUUAAAAUUAUUACAAGUUUAUUUUCAUUC